UACGUAGGCAGCGAGCGUUGUUCGGAGUUACUGGGCGUAAAGGGUGUGUAGGCGGUUCUCUAAGUUUGGGGUGAAAUCUCCCGGCUCAACCGGGAGGGUGCGCCGAAAACUGGAGGGCUAGAGUGCGGGAAGGGAGAGUAGAAUUCCUGGUGUAGCGGUGAAAUGCGUAGAUAUCAGGAGGAAUACCGGUGGUGUAGACGGCUCUCUGGACCGCGACUGACGCUGAGACACGAAAGCGUGGGUAGCAAACAGG
rnacentral:rRNA from 1 species